rnacentral:tRNA from 1 species
GAGGGUGUAGCUCAAGUGGUAGAGCACAUGCUUACCAUGCAGAGAUCCUGGGUUCAAUCCCCAGUACCUCUU